AUGCAGCUGUGGUCUCUCGAGGGCGCGGGCGAGGUGCUCGGCGACCUCUGCAUCAUCGACAGGCUUGACACUCGCACCCACGAGCGCGGUCACACCAGGACCUUUGCUUGUUGGGUGUGGGUCAGGGACGUCGCCCAGAUUCCCACCAAGCGCACGAUCUGGAGGGCGACGCGGGGAGCCGGUAGGGUGGAGGCCAUGCUCGGCUUCUCGCCGCCCAGCCGUGAGGUGGCGCCCCCUCCAAGAGUCAUGCUGCAGGAGAUGCUCGUGCACGUGGAUCGCAUUGAGGACUGGACUCCGCCGUCGCCGCGCUCGUCCCGCUUGUGCCAGAGCGGGCUCCCCUCCUCCGAGUCCGACGAAGAGCGCGCCCCCUUCCCCGCGAUCUACCCGGGGGUCUCGACCAGGCAUGUUAAAGACGGGCAAGGCCGGCGCCAGCAGCCCGCGGUGGCCUCCACCGGUUGCCAGGGGCUGCAGCUGGGUGGUCGCCGUCGGGACCGCGACGAUCAUGACCAAGAUGAAGGCCGGGGCGGGAGCCGUACAUGA
rnacentral:rRNA from 1 species